rnacentral:lncRNA from 1 species
AGCUAUAACAGAUCUCCACAUUCAGUGACAACAUGAAGGAUAUUAAAGCUGGUUCCUUCUGUGCUGGACCAGUAAGCCUUUUACAGACCUUACUCUAUCCACCUAAGGACCCCUCAGUGACACUGAUGUGAGCAGUCUCUGUUUCUCUUAUGAGGACAGUGUGUGUCUGUGUCUGCCCACUCCUAAGUUCACUCAGAUGGGGCUGACUUACCCCAGGGCACACAGCUGGGGUAGCAGCAGCAACCUUUGUCAUCGCUGUCACUGCAGUGUGACAAUGAGAGUUCCCACGGCGGGCAUAAACACAAGUGCAGUGCAGUAGACGUCAGGCAUAGUGGCAGGCCUUAAAGAACUACGGGAAUUGUACUAAAAUUAUCUCUCAUCGGUCCGGAUGGAAAGGUGAUUUUUGUUAGGAAAAUUUUUUAAAGUAAAAAUCUUGCCUCCCCCUGCCCCUCUUGCCUCUAGUUCUGUUUUAGAUGGGGUCUCUGUCACUGUCACCUAGGCUGGCCUCAGACGCACCUCAAACAUGCUGUGCCACAACCGUCUGUACCGCCUUUGCAUCGCUUGUGUGCUGCCCUGCUUGACCUGUCUGCCCUUAACGCCCCUCCAGGGCAGCUGGCACUGUGGAAAGGGCCUGGUGUGGUUUUGCAAAUAAAGUUGUAUUGUUAGCGUUUUCAAUGUCAGUCG